rnacentral:rRNA from 1 species
UACGUAGGGGGCGAGCGUUGUCCGGAUUCAUUGGGCGUAAAGCGCGCGUAGGCGGCUUCGCAAGUCGGCCGUGAAAUCUCCGGGCUCAACUCGGAGGGGUCGGGCGAGACUGCGAGGCUCGAGGUGGGCAGAGGGCAGUGGAAUUCCGGGUGUAGUGGUGGAAUGCGUAGAGAUCCGGAGGAACACCAGUGGCGAAGGCGGCUGCCUGGGCCUGGCCUGACGCUGAGGCGCGAAAGCGUGGGGAGCAAUCCGG